rnacentral:rRNA from 1 species
GAUCCUGGCUCAGGAUGAACGCUGGCGGCGUGCCUAACACAUGCAAGUCGAGCGAAGCGCUUUGCUUAGAUUCUUCGGAUGAAGAGGAUUGUGACUGAGCGGCGGACGGGUGAGUAACGCGUGGGUAACCUGCCUCAUACAGGGGGGAUAACAGUUAGAAAUGACUGCUAAUACCGCAUAAGACCACAGCACCGCAUGGUGCGGGGGUAAAAACUCCGGUGGUAUGAGAUGGACCCGCG